rnacentral:tRNA from 1 species
GAGGAUGUAGCUCAGUGGUAGAGUACGUGCUUAACAAGCAUGAGGUCCUGGGUUCUAUCCUCAGCAUCAUAU